GAUGAAGAACGCAGCGAAAUGCGAUAAGUAAUGUGAAUUGCAGAAUUCAGUGAAUCAUCGAAUCUUUGAACGCACAUUGCGCCCGCCAGUAUUCUGGCGGGCAUGCCUGUUCGAGCGUCAUUUCAACCAUCAAGCCCUGCUUGCGUUGGGGUCCUGCGGCUGCCCGCAGGCCCUGAAAACCAGUGGCGGGCUCGCUAGUCACACCGAGCGCAGUAAUACAUCUCGCUUUGGGCGUGCGGCGGGUUCUUGCCGUUAAACACCCACCUUUCGCAAGGUUGACCUCGGAUCAGGUAGGAAUACCCGCUGAACUUAAGCAUAUCAAUAAGCGGAGGA
rnacentral:misc_RNA from 1 species